rnacentral:rRNA from 1 species
GAAGUUAUCCUGCAGUCGAGAUUCCUACGGGAGGCAGCAGCUAAGAAUCUUCCGCAAUGGGCGAAAGCCUGACGGAGCGACGCCGCGUGGACGAAGAAGGCCGGAAGGUUGUAAAGUCCUUUUCCUGGGGGAGAAUAAUGCGGGGAGGGAAUGCCCUGCAGAUGACGUGAACCAGGGAAUAAGCCCCGGCUAAUUACGUGCCAGCAGCCGCGGUAACACGUAAGGGGCGAGCGUUGUUCGGAUUUAUUGGGCGUAAAGGGCGUGUAGGCGGUAGUGCAAGUCUGGUGUGAAAGGCCCCGGCUCAACCGGGGAAGCGCGCUGGAAACUGUGCUGCUAGAGUUUAGGAGGGGAAGCUGGAAUUCCUGGUGUAGGGGUGAAAUCUGUAGAGAUCAGGAAGAACACCGGAGGCGAAGGCGAGCUUCUGGCCAUAGACUGACGCUGAGGCGCGAAAGCGUGGGGAGCAAACAGGAUUAGAUACCCUGGUAGUCCACGCUGUAAACGAUGUGCACUAGGUGUUGGGGGUAUGAACUCUCGGUGCCGGAGCUAACGCGUUAAGUGCACCGCCUGGGGAGUACGCCGGCAACGGUAAAACUCAAAGGAAUUGACGG